rnacentral:lncRNA from 1 species
GUUUCUAAGAAACUCAUCUCUUGUUUCCAUUGAUACAGUCUGUGAUGGAAGAAGAAUCCUAAGGGACAAACUUAGGGAACAAAAUAUAAAAUACCAAGCAGGGGAGUGAUUCCUUGCAGGGCGAUAUUCACACAUCAUUCAACAGCUGUGGAUGGAACUCCUCCUCUGUGCCAGGGCGGUAAUAUGACCUCCCAUGGGUUUUCCUCAGUAAUAAACCUAUGGGACUUCUAAAAAGAUUAUUAAUAAUUAAGUAACAGUUUCCUUGCCCCCCUCCUAACCCUUGUCAAAUGACUCCAAAAUCUAAUUUCUUUUCCUUCUGAUGAACAGAAAAAGGAAAGCUAAUCUUGAAACUCCCUGCACCGUUCUCAAACCUGUUUACAGCUCAUUCCUGUUUCAACAGUCCUAGGAACUGGCAGAAAGAGUGGGUGCAGGGGAUCUAGCCAUGAGAAGUUAGCCAUGAAUGAGUUAAUGGUCCAGGGAAGCUGGCCACAUUGUAAGAAGUCGGACUAUGCUGAGACUGUCAUGAUGACAGAAAACCCAAGCUAGCCAGGUGGAGAGAUCACACAGAAAGAGAUGCCUGGCCAGCUGUUACCUGAUAUGCCAUCAUGUAAGUAAAAAGUCCACCUUGGAUGGUCCAGCUCAUAGAUGCCAUGUACAGCAGAGGUGAGCCAUUCCUGCCAAGCCCUGCCCAAUUGCAGAAUUGUGAGUAAAUAAAUAAUUACUAUUGUUUUAAGCCACUAUAUUUUGGGAUGAGUUGUUACAUAGCCAUUGAAAACCAAAACACCUCUCUCCACCAAGUCAUUUCCAUCACUUCCUUCAAGACGGAGGCCAAGUCACCUACAUUGGAAACGUACCUGACAAGCUCAAUACAGCUCAUCUUAUUUUAGAAUUUGGUAGUUUGGAUUAUGCAGUUCUAUGCCUGCUUUUGGUCAGUUUCAUACAUUUACCUAUCCCUAAAAUUAAUAAUGACAAUGGCCAAUGCUGAGCAUCAUGGAUCAGGCACUGUGGCUGGGAAUAAUGUUAUUCCUAUUUUACAGAUGAGGAAACUGCGGCACUGAGCGGUUAAGCACCCUAUCCAAAGGUGGUUCUGUAUAAGUACCCUUCCCAAUGUCCUUGUCCCUCUAUUGCUUUGGUGAUAUGCACUUUGAACUUGAAGUGCUAAAAAGGAAGCUGAUGUGGAGACAACAGAAUGGCAUCUGUUUUGCAGGCAAGAAGAUAAAGGAAGGACAGAGGUUAAACUAAGAGAUGCAGAAAUUAUAGUAUAUCAGCCAGGUGUGGUGGCUCAUGCCUGUAAACCCAGCCCUUUGGGAAGCCGAUGCGGGCGGAUCACGAGAUAUUAAUCCAAGGAACAAUACUGACGAAUUUCACGGACAAAAUACUAAGAAGGAAAUCAAGUGAAUCAAGCGGAGAAGAAAGACAGUGGAAAAAGAAAACUGAAAAUAAAAAUAUUUUCUAGACCCCUUGAAAUAAAGUUUGAAAAACCACA